rnacentral:rRNA from 1 species
AGAGUUUGAUCCUGGCUCAGAUUGAACGCUGGCGGCAGGCCUAACACAUGCAAGUCGAGCGGUAGAGAGAAGCUUGCUUCUCUUGAGAGCGGCGGACGGGUGAGUAAUGCCUAGGAAUCUGCCUGGUAGUGGGGGAUAACGUCCGGAAACGGACGCUAAUACCGCAUACGUCCUACGGGAGAAAGCAGGGGACCUUCGGGCCUUGCGCUAUCAGAUGAGCCUAGGUCGGAUUAGCUAGUUGGUGGGGUAAUGGCUCACCAAGGCGACGAUCCGUAACUGGUCUGAGAGGAUGAUCAGUCACACUGGAACUGAGACACGGUCCAGACUCCUACGGGAGGCAGCAGUGGGGAAUCUUGCGCAAUGGGCGAAAGCCUGACGCAGCCAUGCCGCGUGAAUGAUGAAGGUCUUAGGAUUGUAAAAUUCUUUCACCGGGGACGAUAAUGACGGUACCCGGAGAAGAAGCCCCGGCUAACUUCGUGCCAGCAGCCGCGGUAAUACGAAGGGGGCUAGCGUUGCUCGGAAUUACUGGGCGUAAAGGGAGCGUAGGCGGAUAGUUUAGUCAGAGGUGAAAGCCCAGGGCUCAACCUUGGAAUUGCCUUUGAUACUGGCUAUCUUGAGUAUGGGAGAGGUUAGCGGAACUCCGAGUGUAGAGGUGAAAUUCGUAGAUAUUCGGAAGAACACCAGUGGCGAAGGCGGCUAACUGGCCCAUUACUGACGCUGAGGCUCGAAAGCGUGGGGAGCAAACAGGAUUAGAUACCCUGGUAGUCCACGCCGUAAACGAUGAUAACUAGUUGUUCGGUCACUUGGUGACUGAGUGACGCAGCUAACGCAUUAAGUUAUCCGCCUGGGGAGUACGGUCGCAAGAUUA